rnacentral:rRNA from 1 species
CCUACGGGAGGCAGCAGUAGGGAAUUUUGCGCAAUGGGCGAAAGCCUGACGCAGCAACGCCGCGUGAUCGAGACGCCCUUCGGGGUGUAAAGAUCUGUCAGUGGGGACGAAACUUGACGGUACCCACAGAGGAAGCACCGGCCAACUCCGUGCCAGCAGCCGUGGCAACACGGGGGGUGCAAGCGUUGUCCGGAAGCAUUGGGCGUAAAGAGUUCGUAGGCGGCACGUAAAGUCUGGUGUUAAAGGCAGAGGCUCAACUUCCGUACGGCAAUGGAUACUUGCGAGCUAGAGUGCGGUAGAGGUAGGGGGAAUGCCUGGUGUAGCGGUGAAAUGCUUAGAGAUCAGGAGGAACAUCGGUGGCGUAAGCGCUUUACUGGGCCGUAAUUGACGCUGAGGAACGAAAGCCAGGGUAGCAAAUGGGAUUAGAUACCCGGGUAGUC